GCGUAGGGUAAGUAGGUUGUGGGAAAAUGAGAAAAUUAAAUACUAGGUAAUCAUCUUUUUAGGUUUUCUUACUAUUUCACUGAAUCUCGGACGGGACAAUGGUAUUUUUAGGGAGUGGUUAAAUAUAAGAUAUAAAAAGGACCGACAGUGGUGAAAGCAAUUUUCUUGUCGAGUAUUGAGCUAAGAUACGAAAGCAGGGGAGCAAAGAGGAUUAGAGACCCUCGUAGUCCGUGUGUCAACGCUGAGUUUUCAAUGUAGGAAAAUCUUUUUGUUUUAUAAUUUUUAAAUUAUUUUCCUAUAUCUAUAUAAAUACAGUAAUAAAUUGUAUUUAUAUUGCUUGAUAUCGAAUCGAGCUUAAGGUGUAUAGGCACAAAGAUCUAAAACUUAUUAAACACUAUAUUAUAGUAAAUUAAAAGAUAAUUCUGGUGUUUGAGUAACGCAUUAAAUUCUCCGCUGGGAAGUACGGCCGCAGGUUGAAACUCAAAAGAAUUGAGGUGACUUGUACAAGG
rnacentral:rRNA from 1 species